rnacentral:rRNA from 1 species
AAAUUGAAGAGUUUGAUCAUGGCUCAGAUUGAACGCUGGCGGCAGGCCUAACACAUGCAAGUCGAACGGUAACAGGAAGCAGCUUGCUGCUUUGCUGACGAGUGGCGGACGGGUGAGUAAUGUCUGGGAAACUGCCUGAUGGAGGGGGGUAACUACUGGAAACGGUGGCUAAUACCGCAUAACGUCGCAAGACCAAAGAGGGGGACCUUCGGGCCUCUUGCCAUCAGAUGUGCCCAGAUGGGAUUAGCUUGUUGGUGAGGUAACGGCUCACCAAGGCGACGAUCCCUAGCUGGUCUGAGAGGAUGACCAGCCACACUGGAACUGAGACACGGUCCAGACUCCUACGGGAGGCAGCAGUGGGGAAUAUUGCACAAUGGGCGCAAGCCUGAUGCAGCCAUGCCGCGUGUAUGAAGAAGGCCUUCGGGUUGUAAAGUACUUUCAGCGGGGAGGAAGGUGUUGCGGUUAAUAACCGCAGC